CUUUAUUUGAGAGUUUGAUCCUGGCUCAGGAUGAACGCUGGCGGCGUGCCUAAUACAUGCAAGUCGAGCGA
rnacentral:rRNA from 1 species